CCGCGCCCGGCCUUUUUUUUUUUUGGUUUUUUGGGUGAGACAGGGUCUCUGUUGCCCAGGCUGGGGUGCAGUGGCGCUAUCUCAGCUCGUUGCAGCCUCGACCUCUUGGGCUCAGAUCAUCCUGUCACCUCUGCUUCUCAAGUAGCUGAGACUACAGGCUUGCGUUGCCAAGCCCGGAUAACUUUUUGUAUUUGUUUUUUUCUUUUAUUGUAGAGACGCGGUUUUGCCAUGUUGGCUAGGCUGGUUUCAGACUCCUGAGCUCAGUGAUCCGCCUUUCUUGGCUUUCCAAAAGGCUGGGAUUACAGGUAUGAGCCACACUGCCCAUCUUACAGCAAACAUUUUUUGAUGUCUGUUGAAUACCAGGCAACAUGAUAGACUUUGGGGUAAAGUAACAAAUUGAGAAAUACACAAUCCCUGAUUUCAAGAAAUUGGUCAUGAAGUGGAAAGAAGGAAUGGUUACUAAGAGGCUCAGCAGAGGAAAACAUGUCAGCCUAGAGGUAGGAAAUGUUUCAUGGAAGAUAUUGCUUCUGUAUAAGGCCUGGAAAUACAAAGAGGGCUAUUAUGGGCUGAAUUUUGUCUCUCUACAAAUUCAUAGCAAAGUCACAUGUGUGUCAUAUGUUGAAAGGAUAACUCCUCUUGCCUGAGAAAGUGAUUUUAUUUGGAGAAGAGGCCUUUGCAGAUGUAGUCAAAUUAAGAAGUCAUUAAGGUGGGCUCUAAUCUAAUCUGACUAGUGUCCUCAUAAGAAGGGAAAAUUUGGACAGAGAGACACAGGGAGAAGACCAUGUGAAGAUUGGAUAUAUGUUGCCACAAGCCAGUGAAUGCCAAACGUCACCAGCAAACCACCAGGAACUAAGGCAAAGGGACUACUGCAGUUUCCGUCAACCAAGUUGACACUUCAGGGAUACUUUUGUGACCACCAGGCAUUACAAGGAUCCUCAAAGUUCCCCAGGUAUUUGUACUAGUUUAGAAUAGAAUGCCUCAUACCAUCAUAUUGUUUUAGAAUUUGUUAGGUGCAUACCAAAACACUACAAGUUGUGCUCCGAAUUUUCAUUUCUAUUUAUUUAUUUUUAAUUUGCAUACAUUUAAAGGAUACAAGUGUAAUUUUGUUACAUGUAUAAAUUGCAUAGUGGUGAAGUCAGGGCUUUUAUGGUAGUCAUCACUCAAAGAACGUAUAUUGUACCCCUUUCCAGUGACAUUGCUCUUUGGGUAUUAACUCAGAGUCAUCUAUAGCCAUUAAGACCUAGGUAGAAAUUCAUAGUGUGGGGCCAGGGACAGUCUGACAGGAGGCUAUCCUAAGAAUCACUCUUUCCUUCUGAAAAUAAAAUGUAGUAUGGAAUCAAGUUCGUCAUUGAUAGCUCCCUCUUCUCUCGGAAUGAGUUUUCAUGUGGCACAUUCUCAGUUCUCCAUGCAAAGAGUCUUCCUAGUUACUCUUUAUCAUUUUGGCAGACGGUACCAAAAAUAUCAGAAUUUCAAAAGAUGACACAGCAUAGGCUAAAGGUGGUGACCCUUUUGCCACUUCCUACUGUUUUAGUUCUUACACUGCUCAAAAUAGAGAUUCCUGAAUAUAUUUAGAAAUAGUCCCCUAUAUCCUUAAGAUAAUGCCAAUUGCUAAUAUUUACUGGACAGUUGCUAUAAGCCAGGUACUAUGCUAAUCACACUGAUGUAUUACCUUAUUUAAUUCUCUAAAAAUUCUGAGGUAUUGUCAUAAUUUCUACUUUAUAAAUAGAAAAAUUACAGAAAUGGCCUGAAGUCACAGUUCGUGAUGGAACAAGGCCUUGAACCAGGGCUUUUUCAUUCCAAUGCCCAUGCCCUUGAGCACAGCCUGUACUGUUUCUCAAUAUCAGUAAUUGUUACGGGUUGAAUUGUGUCUCACAAAACAUGACAUGUUUAAGUCCUAAUCCCCAGCACCUCAGAAUUUGCCUUGGCAAAUUGGCAGAAUGGUCCUGCCAACACCUUGAUUUUGGACUUCUAGUCUCCAGAAUUGUGCGAAAAUAAAUUUCUGUUGUUUUAAUCCACCUAGUUUCUGGAAUUUUCUGCAUCAGCCCUAGAAAAACAGUACAGCCAUAUAAAUAGAGAAACUCUAAGAAAAAAGAUGAUAUACUAUAAACAGAGAAUCUAAAAUGUAAUAUAGCCUAAGAGGAAUGAGAGACUCCAAACAUAAAACAACUUUGUGAGUGUGAUGGUUAAUACUGAGUGUCAAUUUGAUUGGAUUGAAGGAUACAAAGCAUUGAUCCUGGGUGUGUCUGUGUGGGUGUUGCCAAAGGAGAUUAACAUUUGAGUCAGUGGGCUGGGGAAGGCAGACCCACCCUUAAUCUGAGUGGGCACAAUCUAAUCAGCUGCCAACAAGGCUAGGAUAUAAGCAGGCAAAAAAAAUGUGAAAAGAGAGGCUGGCCUUGCCUCCCAGCCUACAUCUUUCUUCGGUGUGCUGGAUGUUUCCUGCCCUCCAACAUCGGAUUCCAAUUUCUUCAGUUUUCGAACUCAGACUGGCUCUCCUUGCUCCUCAGCCUGCAGACUGCCUAUUGUGGGACCUUGUGAUUGCGUGAGUUAAUAUUUAAUAAACUCUCCUUUAUGUAUAUAUCUAUUCCAUUUGUUCCGUCCCUCUAGAGAACGCUAAUACACUGAGUAAGAAAAAGAAGAACAGGAGACCCAAAAACAAAGAAAAGAAAGAAAAAAGUAAACAAAGUAAUCUGGUUGUAAAAUGAGUUCGCUAGAUUUCUGGUGACAUCUGAUUUUAAUAGGAUAUUCAUAAAAAAUGAAAGCAGGGAUAUAAAACCAAAGUAAAUAAAUACUUAUAACUCAUUGCGAACAAGGUUAAUAUUUAGGGGUUUGGUGGUGGUGACUGGGGAGAGGAAAUUACAGACAAUUAAAGACCAAAACAAAAUAAAGCUUGGAUUUAAUGUAAACCUCAAAUUUAAAAUAAUAUUCCCAUGUGGCAUCAUAGAAAUGGCAUCCAAAAGAAUAAAAGUAAAACUACAGCAAUAAUUUAGAUCUGUAACUAUAAAUCGUCUGAUGGAAAAAUAGCUAAAAUUGUUCUCUAUUGAAAUAGUUAUGAUUGUUACCUUUCUCAUCUCAGCUGGUCUCCCUAUUUCUAAAUAUUGGAAUAGAGCAUCAGGGUGUCCCAAUUCUUCAGUGGGCUCAAACCAAUUACUAUUGGUUUUCAUAUGGUUCUGAAUAAUAGACACUUCUAAUAUGCAGAUGCUUUCAGAGAUUCAUACAAAUGUUAAUGUAUUUAAAAAACCUUUUUUUUUUUAAAAACCCUAGUUAAUCCAAAAAUGGACUAUCUAGCUAUGGAAAUUGGAGUUGUGUAUGCAAGAAGUGUGUGAAUUAUCAGGUGUGCAAAUGCCCUGCAUCUAAAUCCAUACUCUUUUAUUUCUUCUUGCCUCUGUGGCUGCUUGGCUUUCUUUCAUUCAGACCUUAUCUACUUGACAAAUCCUAUUCUUCCUCUGAGGUACAGCUUAAGAAUCACUUCCUCUGUCAAGCCUCCCCAGGCUAUUAUCCCAUAGCCCUCAUUGCUAAUUUUCAUCUUUGUGCUAACAGUGCACUUCUUUUAUAUUAUUUAUAAGAAUUAUAUUUUUGUGCUUGGCUGUAGAAUGUGGGCUCCCUCAAAGCCAGGGCCAGGUCUCUUCUAUGUUUUCAUACCUAACACCUAGCACAGUGUUUGGCUAAGUGGCUACAGUAGCCACUUACUGAUUAAUGAGUUCCAUGGACACCUACAGCCCAGACAACCAAAACAAAAAUAAACGGGUGGGACUACAUCAAACUAAAAGACUUCUGCAUAGCAAAGGGAACAGUUAACAGAGUGAAUACUUAACCUAUACAAUGAGAGAAAAUUUUUGCAAACUACAUAUUUGAUAAAAGGCUGAUUUCCAAAAUAUAUAAGAAAUUUCUACAACUUCAUAGAAAAAAAAACUGUAAACUGAUUUAAAAAUGGGCUAAAGACUUGAAUAGACAUUUUUUUAAAAUGAGAUAAAAAUGACCAUACAGGUACAUGAAAAGAUGCUCAACGUCAAUUAAUCACUAGGGAAAUGCAAAUAAAAACUACAAGAUAUCACCUCAGACCUGUUAGUAUGGCUACUAUCCAAAAGUCAAAAGUUAACAAGUCUUGGCAAGGAUGUGAAUAAAUUAGUGCCCUUGUACACUGUUGAUGGGAAUGUAAAAUGGUGCAGCUGCUAUGGAAAAUAGCAUGGAGGUUCCUCCAAAAAUUAAAAAUUGAGCUACCAUAGGAUUCAGCAAACUCACUUCUAACUAUGUAUCCAAAAGAAAUGAAAUCAGGCUCUCAAAGAGAUAUGAGCACUCUUAUCAUGUUCAUUAUAGCACUACUCACAAUAGCCAAGAUGUGGAAACAACCAAAAUGUACAUUGACAGAUGAAUGAAAAGAAACAAACGAUGCUAUGUACAUACAAGAGAAUAUUAACUUUUCCUUCAAAAAGAAGGAAAUUUGCUAUAUGCAACAACAUGGAUGAACCUUAAGAACAUUAUGUUAAGUGAAAUAAGCCAGUCACAAAAGGACAAAAACUGCAUGAUUCUGCUUGUAUAAGUUAUAUAAAAUAGUCAAACUCACAGAAUCAAGGAGUGGAAUAGUGGUUGCAAAUGACUGAGUAAAAGAAAAAAUGGGGAUUUGCUAAUACAUAGGUGUAAAAUUGUGUUAUUCAAGAUGAAUAAGUGCUAGAGAUCUGCUGUACGGUAUUGUUCCUAUAGACAACAAAACUGUUUUGUACACUUAAACAUCUGUUAAGAGAGUAGAAUUAAUGUUUGGUUCUUACCACCAUACAUUUAAAAAAGAAAUUUAAAAAAUUUCUUUGUGGGGCACUGUGGCUCACGCCUAUAAUCCCAGCACUUUGAGAGGCCGAGGUGGGUGGAUCGCUUGAGGUCAGAAGUUAGAGAGCAGCCUGACCAACAAGGUGAAACCCUGUCUCUACUAAAAGUACAAAAAUUAGCCAGAUGUGGAGGCAUGCGCCCGUAGUCCCAGCUACUCGGGAGGCUAAGACAAGAGAAUCGCUUGAACCCAGGAGACAGAGGUUGCACUGAGCAGUGAUGGUGCCAUUGCACUCCAGCCUGGGCGAUGGAGCAAGACUCCAUCAAAAAAAAAAAAAAUGCGUGAACAUAUGUAAUUAGAGAAAAAUAUUAGGGAAAUUGCAAAAUAAUUUAUUAGCCUUAUUCAGAUCUAGAGAUGAUCAAGGAUAAGCUCAGCCUACUCAAGCAGAGAUAACGUCUGUGUGGAAACGCUAAAUGUCUAGUCUGCUUCUAUCUUGUGUUUAAAGGAGAAUCCUGUUGAAAAUGAAGCCACUAUCAUGGUUAAGAGGAUUUGAAAUCUAAGAUCAGGAGUGACUGCUUUCGGUGAAUACAAGUUUCUAAGACUAGAAGAUGGACAUUCUAAAGUUCAGAAAAAGUCACUUCUCAAAUCACUAAGUUAUGUUGCUUCCUUCACAAUGUUGACCAAGAAUCCCUUCACCCCUUUUCUUGUUAACAUUGCAGUCAAACAUUGAUUAUCAUGCACUUUAAUAAAAUAAUAGCCAAAUUGUUAUCUCAUUUCUCUGCCUCAAGUCUGUUCUUUUCUCAGUUCACAUUGCACACUGCCUGGCUUGGGCCAUUCCUUGGUUCAGAAAUCUUAAAUUGUUCCCCAUUUUCCUACAGACUAAAGUUUAUUUUCCUUAACCUAGCCCUUUAUUGCUCCUCCAAAUUUACUCGUCUCACAAACCAUCUUUCUAGCAUCAUUUCCAAUAA
rnacentral:lncRNA from 1 species